rnacentral:rRNA from 1 species
AGUGAACGCUGGCGGUAGGCCUAACACAUGCAAGUCGAACGGCAGCACAGUAAGAGCUUGCCCUUACGGGUGGCGAGUGGCGGACGGGUGAGGAAUACAUCGGAAAUCUACUUUUUCGUGGGGGAUAACGUAGGGAAACUUACGCUAAUACCGCAUACGACCUACGGGUGAAAGCAGGGGAUCUUCGGACCUUGCGCGAUUGAAUGGGCCGAUGUCGGAUUAGCUAGUUGGCGGGGUAAAGGCCCACCAAGGCGACGAUCCGUAGCUGGUCUGAGAGGAUGAUCAGCCACACUGGAACUGAGACACGGUCCAGACUCCUACGGGAGGCAGCAGUGGGGAAUAUUGGACAAUGGGCGCAAGCCUGAUCCGGCCAUACCGCGUGGGUGAAGAAGGCCUUCGGGUUGUAAAGCCCUUUUGUUGGGAAAGAAAAGCAGCAGGUUAAUACCCCGCUGUUCUGACGGUACCCAAAGAAUAAGCACCGGCUAACUUCGUG